UCUCUUUCUCUCUGGUCUUUGCUGUUCUGUUAAAGAGAGUUUCAUCUAUCUCUCUCUCUCCCUGAUAGUUUUCUUGCUGGGUUAGUUGCUCUUGAAGGGUCGAAAGAAGGAGAUGCUUGAGUUGGUUAUCGUAUUGAAAUAGUUACUGUGAUGUUGGCUCGGUUCAUUCAGACCAUUACUUGGGUCUAGUUCUGAUUGAGCCGUGCCAAUAUCUUAGUGCUCUUUCAUUUUCCUCUCUUUGCAACCACUUCUCUCAAGCCAAGGGACAUGAACCGAGUCAGAUUGGACCGGUUGGAGGAAUUCUGAGAGAUGCCCUCCUGCCAAAAAAUUAAGAAUGCUCCUCCAUUAUGUAAAGUAAAACUGGGCCAACCGGCUUAGGGUUGACGGUUGACCCACCAAAACAUGGAAACAUUCUAUAUUGGGUGGAGGAUUCCUUUUCUUUCUCCCCUUUUUUCUUAAAAUUCUUGAGAUUGUAUAUACAUAAUAUUACACUGGAAAUGGAAUAAUUUUUUUUUUAAUCGGUCUGACUGAGAUUUCUUGGAACAGUAUAAUCUUUUUCAUCUACAAUGAAAAAUAUAUUAUUUAUUUAUUUAUUUAUUGAAUCUGUAAACGGAAAUAUACUUUUCAAAGUGACCCUUAUGGUGGUUUAGAGUUAGUUGAGGAAAGUAAAUGUGGAAAAGGGUGGAUGGCACUGAUUUAAUGAUGGUAGUAAAUAUGAGUUCGCCUGGUGAAGAAUAGAAACUGUAUACAUUUAUAUAAAUGAUGCCUGCUUUUUAUUUGCAGACAGACAAAGAUUCCUUCUUUAAUACCCCUCGCAUGCUCCUCCCUCUGUACUUUCUCCUGGUCCUCCUCUACACUGUAUCUCUCUUUUUGAAUUUUUAGGCUUAUCUUCUUCCCUCCAAAUUACUCCUCAAUAUGAUAUAAAUUAUAAGAGAAAAUAGAGAUUCCCUACGUUGUUGUUUCUUUUCACUUUGAUUUUUCAUUUAAGCUGUAAAAGAGGAAAAAUAUGCAUAUAAUGUAUGCAUUUUAAUUUAAAUGAAGAUAUGAUGCCAUUUGACAA